rnacentral:rRNA from 1 species
UACGUAGGGUGCAAGCGUUGUCCGGAAUUAUUGGGCGUAAAGAGCUCGUAGGCGGACUGUCACGUCUGCUGUGAAAAGCUAGGGCUUAACCCUGGCCUUGCAGUGGAUACGGGCAGACUAGAGGUAGGUAGGGGAGAAUGGAAUUCCCGGUGUAGCGGUGAAAUGCGCAGAUAUCGGGAGGAACACCGGUGGCGAAGGCGGUUCUCUGGGCCUUACCUGACGCUGAGGAGCGAAAGCGUGGGAGCGAACAGG